GAUGAACGCUAGCGGCAGGCCUAAUACAUGCAAGCUGAACGGUAAAUAUUAUAGCAAUAUAAUAUGAGAGUAGCGUAAGGGUGCGUAACACGUAUGCAAUCUGCCCUGUACAGGAGGAUAGCUCGGCGAAAGCCGGAUUAAUACUCCGUAAUAUUAUGGUGUGGCAUCACAUUAUAAUUAAAGUCGCAAGAUGGUACAGGAUGAUCAUGCGUCUGAUUAGCUAGUUGGUAGUGUAACGGACUACCAAGGCGAUGAUCAGUAGGGGAACUGAGAGGUUGAUCCCCCACACUGGCACUGAGAUACGGGCCAGACUCCUACGGGAGGCAGCAGUAGGGAAUAUUGGUCAAUGGAUGCAAGUCUGACCCAGCCAUGCCGCGCGCAGGAGGAAGGCCUUCUGGGUUGUAAACUGCUUUUGCCGGGGGAUAACAUUCCCAUGCGUGGGACAUUGACCGUACCCGGUGAAUAAGCCACGGCUAUCUACGUGCCAGCAGCCGCGGUAAUACGUAGGUGGCAAGCGUUGUCCGGAUUUAUUGGGUUUAAAGGGUGCGUAGGCGGCCUAUUAAGUCAGUGCUGAAAUAUCCCGGCUUAACCGGGAGGGUGGCAUUGAUACUGAUGGGCUU
rnacentral:rRNA from 1 species